GUCCCCUUCGGGGGCAGAGUGACAGGUGGUGCAUGGUUGUCGUCAGCUCGUGUCGUGAGAUGUUGGGUUAAAGUCCCGCAACGAGCGCAACCCUUGAUCUUAGUUGCCAGCAUUCAGUUGGGCACUCUAAGGUGACUGCCGGUGACAAACCGGAGGAAGGUGGGGAUGACGUCAAAUCAUCAUGCCCCUUAUGACCUGGGCUACACACGUGCUACAAUGGACAGAACAAAGGGCAGCGAAACCGCGAGGUUAAGCCAAUCCCACAAAUCUGUUCUCAGUUCGGAUCGCAGUCUGCAACUCGACUGCGUGAAGCUGGAAUCGCUAGUAAUCGCGGAUCAGCAUGCCGCGGUGAAUACGUUCCCGGGCCUUGUACACACCGCCCGUCACACCACGAGAGUUUGUAACACCCGAAGUCGGUGAGGUAACCUUUAUGGAGCCAGCNUCNGANNGNGACUAGCAAGANGG
rnacentral:rRNA from 1 species